AAUCAUGUUUGGUUUGUAGGCAGUGUAGUUAGCUGAUUGUGUGUCUCCCCAGCAAUCACUAGCUUCACUGUCAUCAAAACAAUGUGCAG
rnacentral:pre_miRNA from 1 species